GCAAGUGGGUGGACAGCACAUCCACCUGCGUGUGCACAGACUGGGAAAGAAACCUUUAAGUGCGUUUGUCACCCAUUUGCGCUGAUUUUCACCCCUUCGCAGAUGGGGGAAGGCAAUGCCCACAGUUGGAAGGGACUACCUGUGGAUGUGCUUUCCGAGACUCUGUAUCCGAGGACACGGAUGACUCACCUGCUUCAGAGAAGUGUGCUCACAGGGACCACAUCUCAGCACAGGUCAGGGUCUGCUCACACAGCGCAUGUGCCUCCCCUGCGAGCCCAACUGUCCUGCAGGUAUGCCAUGCACUGCAAGAAGAGAGGCUCAUGCCUCGAGUGUGAGAUGUCAACAAUGAAAGCAAAGCCAGGGCAGGCUUCAGCACAGCAGUAGGGAGUUUACAGGUGGGAAGAAGAGGAAAGAAAAUGGCUGGUCUCCUUCCUUCUUGUACUGCCAUCUUCUCUGACUCAGAGACAGGGAAGAAACAAAAUGGUGUUCUCAAAGAUACAACUCGGCGGACAGCCCCGCUUCCUGGAUCCAGCCAGCACAAGUCCAGUGUCGCAGCAUAACUGAACAAUCACAGCCCCACUCUGCUGAGUGCUCCAAGAGCCAGGUGUCAUUGGCUCUUUAAAACAUCGUCUUUUUUAAUCCUUAGCACAACCUGCAAGAGGCUCUCUGAGGACUAAAGAGGAGGAAAUGGCGUGAAAGGGGCAGCAAUGCUUGUCCCAGGGCUGGACUAGGCAGCACAGAAAUUCCACUCACCAAGCCCUUUGCCCACACAGAAUGCAGAAGUAGAAUCCUUAGGAUGACACAGUCCAUGCAGCUGGUCUGAAUGCAAG
rnacentral:lncRNA from 1 species